CCAAUAGCGUAUAUUAAAGUUGUUGCAGUUAAAAAGCUCGUAGUUGAAUUUCGGGGUUAGUAGGUUGGUCAUGCCACUGGUAUGUACUGGUCUCACUGAUUUCUCCUUCCUGAUGAACCGUAAUGCCAUUAAUUUGGUGUUGCGGGGAGACGGGACUGUUACUUUGAAAAAAUUAGAGUGUUUAAAGCAGGCUAACGCUUGAAUACAUUAGCAUGGAAUAAUGAAAUAGGACGUUCGAUCCUAUUUUGUUGGUUUCUAGGAUUGACGUAAUGAUUAAUAGGGAUAGUUGGGGGCAUUAGUAUUCAAUUGUCAGAGGUGAAAUUCUUGGAUUUAUUGAAGACUAACUACUGCGAAAGCAUUUGCCAAGGAUGUUUUCAUUAAUCAAGAACGAAAGUUAGGGGAUCGAAGACGAUCAGAUACCGUCGUAGUCUUAACCAUAAACUAUGCCGACUAGGGAUCGGAUGAUGUUAAUUUUUUAAUGACUCAUUCGGCGCCUUACG
rnacentral:rRNA from 1 species